AUGCUGCGAAGGGUUCUUCAUGUAAUUGAUCCGAACAUUUGCAAGCCUGCUGAGAGCCAGAUGAAAGCAAAGCACUUGCGGAAUGCAGAGGAGCUGUUGGAUGCAUUGGUGAAGUGUGGUGACAUGUUCUGGGGGGAGGGAAAGGUGCCACACAAUGGAUGGUCUUAUUGUUUCCAUGCUACGUGCACCUAUGAGAGCUCUGACACGGCUAUGCAGGUUGUGCAGCACAUAAUCAACUUUGUCCCUGGGCAGCAUCCGAUGAACUUGACUGCGAUGCGUAGCUGCAAAUUAUCUUAUGGUGGGGCAUGA
rnacentral:rRNA from 1 species